rnacentral:lncRNA from 1 species
AGGCGCCGCGCGGGGCGGAGCAACGCAAUGCCGACGAAGCGAAGUGCACGGCGACGUGUGCGAUCGGUUUGGUAGUUUGUGGCCUCCUAACUGAUUUUUUUAUUUUCGCCCUUCUUCGAAAAUCUCUAGCGGGACAAAACUGGUUUUUAGGACUUAAGAAUCGAUGCUAUAACCUAUAAUAUCCAUACCUGAAACUGAACUCAUCCUAUAUCCUAUUUUAUAAUUAUUUCAAACUUUACUUUGUAAAUAUUACAAUUCACAGAGCAAAACAGUGUGGCUUCUUUUUUUCUGUAUGGUAUCUGUGACUCGUCUAACCUUAUUUCGUGUAUCUCGCAUCUACUCUCACUCUGUCCUCACAGUUGACCCUCAUCAUCAUCGUCCCCACUCUUCAUCUUCAGUCUUGAUGCUAGCCCUCAGUCUCUAUCUUAUUUUUUUAUUAAUAACUUAGUUCGUGAUUUAGUUAGUAAAUUAUGCAAUUAUUAAUUAGUAGUAGUUAUUUAGUUAGGUAGGUAGUUGGUAGUAGUAAGUUUAGGUAGUUAUAUUUAGUAACUUAAAAUUUUGUUAGUAUUUACUAGUUAGUAGUAGUUAUUUAUUAAGUUUAGGUAACUUGGCAUCAUAUGUAGUUAGUUAGGUAUAUAAGUUAGAUAUUGUGUAACUAGUUAAUUAGCUAAAAUUUAGUUAGUUUGAUAGUAUUUAGUUAGUUAGCAAUCUGGUUGCACUUAGUCACCUAUAUCUAAAUUUGUUUGAAGGUAUACUCAAGUUUUCAUAUGAAACAGAUGGAUAAUCUAAUAGCUUCGCACCAUGACGACAUUGUGGACAAAGAUAAUUAUGGAAAUGUUUCGUUUGUUAGAAUGCAAAGCGAGUCUAUGUUACUCAAUGAUCAGCCACCAUUUAGUGAGUUGGUUGCUAUAAAUAGGGAAAACUAGUAUGUACAUAAGGUUGAGAUGUGUCCUUGUGAUUUGAGUUUGUGAUAAGUGACUGUUAACAUACUAGCAUCUUAGUUUGAGUCGUGUAGACUAUCCAGGUGUGAGUGUGUAUGCAAUAUGUCUCUUACCUUUGUGAUGUGCAGGUGCAGAGUCCGUAGACGGUGGUCGAUGAUAAAGGUGAAGGUCAUGCGAGUUCGUGCCAAUAAACCGAGAGAACUGAAGGAUGAGUGAUGAGUGUUAACUGAUAGACUAGAGAAGCUGGGUGACCAGAUGUGGUGGCUGAUACCUGAAGACAUCGCAAGCACGAGGACAUAGCCAUGUGGAUUGUGUUGUCGACACAAUUGAGGAUCGACAAGACACAAGUCUAGGAUGUGGGGACACAUAUGAAGUAUGUUACCUAUAGAGGCUUGGUGUUUGAGAUUUAAAAUCACCCAACAACGGUUUCACGGGUUUGGCCUCAAAACUCAGUGAUGUGGUUUCAAACGGA